CGCGGCCUAUCAGCUUGUUGGUGAGGUAACGGCCCACCAAGGCGACGACGGGUAGCCGGCCUGAGAGGGCGACCGGCCACACUGGGACUGAGAUACGGCCCAGACUCCUACGGGAGGCAGCAGUGGGGAAUAUUGCGCAAUGGGCGAAAGCCUGACGCAGCAACGCCGCGUGCGGGAUGAAGGCCUUCGGGUUGUAAACCGCUUUCAGCAGGGACGAAGGGUUACCUUGACGGUACCUGCAGAAGAAGCACCGGCUAACUACGUGCCAGCAGCCGCGGUGAUACGUAGGGUGCGAGCGUUGUCCGGAAUUAUUGGGCGUAAAGAGCUUGUAGGCGGUCUGUUGCGUCGGAAGUGAAAACUCAGGGCUUAACCCUGAGCCGGCUUUCGAUACGGGCAGACUUGAGGGAUGUAGGGGAGAACGGAAUUCCUGGUGGAGCGGUGGAAUGCGCAGAUAUCAGGAGGAACACCAGUGGCGAAGGCGGUUCUCUGGACAUUUCCUGACGCUGAGAAGCGAAAGCGUGGGGAGCAAACAGGCUUAGAUACCCUGGUAGUCCACGCCGUAAACGGUGGGCACUAGGUGUGGGAUCCUUCCACGGAUUCCGUGCCGUAGCUAACGCAUUAAGUGCCCCGCCUGGGGAGUACGG
rnacentral:rRNA from 1 species